rnacentral:lncRNA from 1 species
GGCCAAAUGAACCCAUGCCGACUCUCCUCCCCGCUGCAGACCCAGGCGAUUGGCUGAGAGCGCCUUGCUGGUCCGAUUUGCUCUCCAGGGAUUUGAAGAGGAGAAUGAGGAGCAAUUCUAAAGUGUCCCUGUCUUGUGACCCUGUCACAUUCUCAGGGAAAUGA